UACAGAGGGGGCAAGCGUUGUUCGGAAUUACUGGGCGUAAAGGGCGCGUAGGCGGCCUGCUAAGUCAUACGUGAAAUCCCUCGGCUCAACCGGGGAACUGCGUGUGAUACUGGCGGGCUUGAAUUCGGGAGAGGGAUGCGGAAUUCCAGGUGUAGUGGUGAAAUGCGUAGAGAUCCGGAGGAACACCAGUGGCGAAGGCGACACGCUGGGCCGUACCUGACACUGAUGCGCGACAGCAUGGGGAGCAAACAGG
rnacentral:rRNA from 1 species